CCUACGGGAGGCAGCAGUGGGGAAUAUUGCACAAUGGGGGAAACCCUGAUGCAGCGACGCCGCGUGAGUGAAGAAGUAAUUCGUUAUGUAAAGCUCUAUCAGCCGGGAAGAAAUGACGGUACCUGAGUAAGAAGCCCCGGCAAACUACGUGCCAGCAGCCGCGGUAAUACGUCGGGGGCAAGCGUUAUCCGGAUUUACUGGGGGUAACGGGAGCGUAGACGGCAGUGCAAGUCUGGAGUGAAAGGCGGGGGCUCAACCCCCGGACUGCUCUGGAAACUGUACGGCUGGAGUGCAGGAGAGGUAAGUGGAAUUCCUAGUGUAGCGGUGAAAUGCGUAGAUAUUAGGAGGAACACCAGUGGCGAAGGCGGCUUACUGGACUGUAACUGACGUUGAGGCUCGAAAGCGUGGGGAGCAAACAGGAUUAGAUACCCUAGUAGUC
rnacentral:rRNA from 1 species